GCUUUCUGGAGUUUGUUUCCUUGGUCUCCUCGGCAGAGUCUGACCGGAGGAACUUCGCAAACGGAAGGAAUUGUGCUUGAGCAUUAUUGGUAAAGAGCCGUGUUUGACUUCUGUUGGACUUUGAAACUCUUUGCCCAUGGUGGUGAACGUAGCCCUCGGAGUUUUCCUAACAAGCCUUACACUGUUAUGUGUGUAUUUUGUAACCUUCAACCCUGGAUCCUGUAUUUGAAGAGCC
rnacentral:lncRNA from 1 species